AUUGAACGCUGGCGGCAGGCCUAACACAUGCAAGUCGAGCGGAUGAAGGGAGCUUGCUCCUGGAUUCAGCGGCGGACGGGUGAGUAAUGCCUAGGAAUCUGCCUGGUAGUGGGGGAUAACGUCCGGAAACGGGCGCUAAUACCGCAUACGUCCUGAGGGAGAAAGUGGGGGAUCUUCGGACCUCACGCUAUCAGAUGAGCCUAGGUCGGAUUAGCUAGUUGGUGGGGUAAAGGCCUACCAAGGCGACGAUCCGUAACUGGUCUGAGAGGAUGAUAAGUCACACUGGAACUGAGACACGGUCCAGACUCCUAAGGGAGGCAGCAGUGGGGAAUAUUGGACAAUGGGCGAAAGCAUGAUCCAGCCAUGCCGCGUGUGUGAAGAAGGUCUUCGGAUUGUAAAGCACUUUAAGUUGGGAGGAAGGGCAGUAAGUUAAUACCUUGCUGUUUUGACGUUACCAACAGAAUAAGCACCGGCUAACUUCGUG
rnacentral:rRNA from 1 species